GUCCUGGUAAUUUAACAAAAAUACUGGUCUUGUAAGCCAGCAAUGAAGCUUAGAAACUUCCCAAGACA
rnacentral:tRNA from 1 species